UGGCCGCUACCUGAGCCCAGGUGGGGGCAAUAUAAGUACUGUUCCGGAAGACAAGUACACAUCACUCCACUGCCUCCUUCCGCAACACACCUUUUCGUGAACUUUCUACUUCCCGAACCUGCCCAGCAGGAUGCGAAGGCCACCCCAAUGUCACCGGGGCUUAUCGUCAGGCUAUCUGGUCAGUCUGGCUGCCCCCCAGGCUUGCCAAGUGUAGAGACUGCUGGUAGCCUUAGCACCCAACCCACGGGAGGUCAUGGGGAUAAAGAAGACAGGAAAAAGGACUGAAAAGGACCAGCCAGCACAAUAGGAGGAGCUCAGUUUUGAGUAACACAAGUUAGAGGCAGCUGACCUUCACAUGACCAAGGGUCGGGAGAUGUGAGGAGGUUCCCUUGAGUCUGGUGAUUAGCCUCUGAAGAGGGGACCUGCCGUUCAAAGGCCAAGCCUUCAGGACAUUGCCCAGGCCCUGGAAACACUAACAGUGGACCUCCUGUCUUGGUAAGUACCAGACUGUUCUAAUAUGUGGCUUCUGGAAAAGAAACAUUUAGCCAGACAGAAGGCUAGAAGGUGAUAUGAGAUCUCUGGCAAGAGCUGGCCAGCUCAAUCCAAAUAUCACUGUUACUGCAUGAGGCUAAGGUCAAUUUCCUGGGAU